GUACACGCUGUGACUAGCAUAUCAAUAAGCGGAGGAAAAGAAACCUAACAAGGAUUCCCCUAGUAACGGCGAGUGAAGCGGGAAGAGCUCAAAUUUGAAAUCUUAAAGGGUUUCCCUUUACGAAUUGUAGUUUAAAGAAGUGUUUUCUGUUGAGGUUUUGGUAAAAGUUCUUUGGAAUAGGACAUCAUAGAGGGUGAGAAUCCCGUAUUUGACCUUUACUUUCAACUUUGUGAUACACUUUCAAAGAGUCGGAUUGUUUGGGAAUGCAGUCCAAAAUGGGUGGUAAAUUUCAUCUAAAGCUAAAUAUUGGCGAGAGACCGAUAGCGAACAAGUACCGUGAGGGAAAGAUGAAAAGAACUUUGAAAAGAGAGUUAAACAGUACGUGAAAUUGUCAAAAGGGAAGCGUUUGACACCAGUGUUGUUUUUCUGAAAAUCAAUUAAAGAACUGUUUAUGCUAAGCUUGUUUAGACUUUAUCAGCUAUCUGUUUAGUUUUAGGCUUUUCUUUAAUGCACUUUUCAGUUAACAAGUCAACAUCAAUUUCUUUUGCUGUAAAAAAGCUUGAGGAAGGUGGCUUGAGAUUCGUCUUAAGUGUUUAUAGCCUCUUGCCUAUGCAGUCGGAGAGAUUGAGGUCUGCAGCGUAGAUCCUUCGGGGCUAAAUGCAUUUGUGCUAAGUUAUAGCAUUUUAUAGACAACUUGUUGACUAUGAUUUGUCUUGUAGCUUACUCGCUUAUGUUAUUUUACCUACGCUUAGGAUGUUGAGUCGUAGAGCACGCAG
rnacentral:rRNA from 1 species